rnacentral:rRNA from 1 species
GGAGGGAGCUAGCGUUGUUCGGAAUUACUGGGCGUAAAGCGUACGUAGGCGGUGACUCAAGUCAGAGGUGAAAGCCUGGAGCUCAACUCCAGAACUGCCUUUGAAACUAGGUCGCUAGAAUCACGGAGAGGUGAGUGGAAUUCCGAGUGUAGAGGUGAAAUUCGUAGAUAUUCGGAAGAACACCAGUGGCGAAGGCGGCUCACUGGACGUGUAUUGACGCUGAGGUACGAAAGCGUGGGGAGCAAACAGGAUUAGAUACCCUGGUAGUCCACGCCGUAAACGAUGAUAACUAGCUGCCAGGGCUCUUAGAGCUUUGGUGGCGCAGCUAACGCAUUAAGUUAUCCGCCUGGGGAGUACGGUCGCAAGAUUA